ACGCGAGCUGGGUUCAGAACGUCGUGAGACAGUUCGGUCCCUAUCUGCCGUGGGCGUUUGAGAUUUGAGGGAAGCUGCUCCUAGUACGAGAGGACCGGAGUGGACGAACCUCUGGUGUUCCGGUUGUCACGCCAGUGGCAUUGCCGGGUAGCUAUGUUCGGACAGGAUAACCGCUGAAAGCAUCUAAGCGGGAAGCCCCUCCCAAGAUGAGAUCUCACUGGGACACUAAGUCCCCUGAAGGGCCGUCGGAGACUACGACGUUGAUAGGCACGGUGUGGAAGUCCAGUAAUGGGCGUAGCUAACGUGUACUAAUUGCCCGUGAGGCUUGACCAU
rnacentral:rRNA from 1 species